rnacentral:ncRNA from 1 species
AAGUAUCUCCGAGUCCGUCACAGGAUAGGAGUAACGGCUGGUUGGCACAGCCAUCGACGUUCUUGUUUGACAAGGAAACUGGUGCGUUCGCACCUCAAGAACAGGUCACGUCGUAAACCACAAUAUCCCAACGGCGGUCGGGAAUCCUCGCGCUUCAGCGCGGGGA